GCAUAUCAAUAAGCGGAGGAAAAGAAACCAACAGGGAUUGCCUCAGUAACGGCGAGUGAAGCGGCAAAAGCUCAAAUUUGAAAUCUAGCACCUUCGGUGUUCGAGUUGUAAUUUGAAGAUGGUAACCUUGGGUUUGGCUCUUGUCUAUGUUCCUUGGAACAGGACGUCAUAGAGGGUGAGAAUCCCGUCUGAUGAGAUGCCCAUUCCUAUGUAAGGUGCUAUCGAAGAGUCGAGUUGUUUGGAAAUGCAGCUCUAAGUGGGUGGUAAAUUCCAUCUAAAGCUAAAUAUUGGCGAGAGACCGAUAGCGAACAAGUACAGUGAUGGAAAGAUGAAAAGAACUUUGAAAAGAGAGUGAAAAAGUACGUGAAAUUGUUGAAAGGGAAGGGCAUUAGAUCAGACUUGGUGUUUUACGAUUAUCUUCUCUUCUUGAGUUGUGCACUCGUAUUUCACUGGGCCAGCAUCGAUUCGGAUGGCAAGAUAAUGGCAGUUGAAUGUGGCUUCACUUCGGUGGAGUGUUAUAGCUUCUGCUGAUAUUGCCUGUCUGGAUCGAGGGCUGCGUCUUUUGACUAGGAUGCUGGCGUAAUGAUCUAAUGCCGCCCGUCUUGAAACACGGACC
rnacentral:rRNA from 1 species